rnacentral:rRNA from 1 species
CAGGCCCUACGGGGUGCAGCAGGCGCGAAAACUUUACAAUGCUGGCAACAGCGAUAAGGGAACCUCGAGUGCCAGGUUACAAAUCUGGCUGUCGAGAUGCCUAAAAAGCAUUUCAUAGCAAGGGCCGGGCAAGACCGGUGCCAGCCGCCGCGGUAACACCGGCGGCUCGAGUGGUAACCGUUAUUAUUGGGUCUAAAGGGUCUGUAGCCGGCCGGAUAAGUCUCUUGAGAAAUCUGGCAGCUUAACUGUCAGGCUUUCAGGAGAUACUGUCUGGCUCGAGGCCGGGAGAGGUGAGAGGUACUUCAGGGGUAGGGGUGAAAUCUUGUAAUCCUUGAAGGACCACCAGUGGCGAAGGCGUCUCACCAGAACGGACCUGACGGCAAGGGACGAAAGCUAGGGGCACGAACCGGAUUAGAUACCCGGGUAGUCCUAGCCGUAAACGAUACUCGCUAGGUGUCGGCCACGGUGCGACCGUUGUCGGUGCCGUAGGGAAGCCGUGAAGCGAGCCACCUGGGAAGUACGGCCGCAAGGCUGAAACUUAAAGGAAUUGGCGGGGGAGCACCACAACGGGUGGAGCUUGCGGUUUAAUUGGAUUCAACGCCGGAAAUCUUACCGGGACCGACAGCAA